rnacentral:pre_miRNA from 1 species
GAAGUACUCCCUCCGUCCCAAAAUUCAUGUCUUAGAUUUGUCUAGAUAUGGAUGUAUCAAGUCACAUUUUAGUAUUAGAUACAUCCGUAUCUAGACAAAUCUAAGACAACAAAUUUGGGACAGAGGGAGUAGUUG